AGGAUUCAGCUGACUGUCUGCUCCCUCUUACUCUCUCACACCCACCAUUCAGAGCUCUCGGUCAUCACUCUACACCCAGCUGAAGCUCUCUGAAGAUCCUAUGCUGCCCUUGAAGCCUCCUGCAGUUUCUGAAGCUCAGAUGGCUCACAUCCUCCUUGUGCCAGUCACAUGAAGUGAAGUAAAAAGCAUUUCCCUUCCUGGUGGUGAAGCUUCCAUACGCACACCUGGCAGAGUACCUGGUGCAUUGCAGGUACUUAAUAAAUGCUUGUUGAUUGAGCGACAUUAAUUUGGAUCUGCAUCUGAUCUACAACAUAUAAUCUUCAAGAGUUGCCUGGGACACUUAACUUAGCUUAACAGAGAGACAAUGUUGCAUAGCAGAUAGAUGGCCAGCCUGGAAGUUAAGAAAAUCUGAGUUCAAGUUCUAUUACUGACACAUGUUGGCUUUGAGACCUUGGACAAAUUACUUAAAGUACCAGAGUCUCCAGAAAUGCUCUAAGAUGGGUAAAGAGUAAAGAAGUUACAUAUCUUCUUAAGUAAAGGCAAUGCUUGUGUCCGGCAUUCCCUAACACCCAUUUUAUCAUCAGUCCAGACACACAUGUGUAGGUAUUUGUAAUAUUUAUACAUGUAUAUAUAAAUAUUAUAUAUGCAUAUCCAUAACU